rnacentral:sRNA from 1 species
AAGGAACAAUAGAUCGAGAGUGCGUCUC